UGGGGAAUAUUGGACAAUGGGGGGAACCCUGAUCCAGCCAUGCCGCGUGUGUGAAGAAGGCCUUAUGGUUGUAAAGCACUUUAAGCGAGGAGGAGGCUCUUUUGGUUAAUACCCAAGAUGAGUGGACGUUACUCGCAGAAUAAGCACCGGCUAACUCUGUGCCAGCAGCCGCGGUAAUACAGAGGGUGCGAGCGUUAAUCGGAUUUACUGGGCGUAAAGCGUGCGUAGGCGGCUUUUUAAGUCGGAUGUGAAAUCCCCGAGCUUAACUUGGGAAUUGCAUUCGAUACUGGGAAGCUAGAGUAUGGGAGAGGAUGGUAGAAUUCCAGGUGUAGCGGUGAAAUGCGUAGAGAUCUGGAGGAAUACCGAUGGCGAAGGCAGCCAUCUGGCCUAAUACUGACGCUGAGGUACGAAAGCAUGGGGAGCAAACAGGAUUAGAUACCCUGGUAGUCCAUGCCGUAAACGAUGUCUACUAGCCGUUGGGGUCUUUGAGACUUUAGUGGCGCAG
rnacentral:rRNA from 1 species